ACCCCUUGUAGACAAAGCAAUCGAUGCCUUUUACCAGCUGAGCAACCCGAGGAGUCAGAUGGAGACCUAUGUGAUCAGUGUGAUCAGAGCUAGUGUCGCAAAGCUAAACGCGGAUGUUGCUUUUGAGCGGAAGAAUGAAAUCGCCGAAGCUGUUGAGAAAGAGCUCGGAAAGGCUAUGUCCGACUAUGGAUACGAGAUUGUGCGGACCCUGAUCGUGGACAUUAAACUGGAUCUUUGUGCUAGGCGAGCUAUUAGUGAAAUCGCUGGUAACCUUGAAGUUUCAA